rnacentral:lncRNA from 1 species
UGCUCAUUUUUUACAGUGGGUUGUAAUGUUCUUCCAAUGAGGGUUACCCCUCAUUUGGAGUGUUGUUCCCAACCUGUUAAAGGUCCAUCUUUGUGCAUAAUUCAAAAUUGGAAAUUUCAACAAGCAUCUAAUAUUCUUACACAAGAAAAUAAACCCUGGUCUGCUAGCUACAUGUUCAUCUUUUCUACCGAUUUAAUAACUAGAAUCAUGCAAACAGACUUAAGAAAAAGGCAUGUAAGUUCAUCAUACAAAUAUGACACUUUUUCUAGACAAUCCAGAUCGUGCAAAAUACUUCGCUAAAAGUUGUAACCUUUAAAAUUGUUGUCGCGCACUAAAAACCCCAUGGGAACUUUCAAAGGUUGGCGGGUAUGUAACAAGUCUUACUAUUUUUUUGCCCCAUUUAUGGGCAUUAUGUUUUCUGGUCUGUCCGUCCGUCCUGCUUCAGGUUAAAGUUUAUGGUCUAGGUAGUUUUUGGUGAAGUUGAAAUCCAAUCAACUUGAAACUUAGUACACAUGUGUUCCUUAUGAUAUGAUUUUUCUAAUUUUACUGCCAAAUUAAAGAUUUUAC